GUGCCACAUCUGUCCCAGCUGGCCACGGUUUGGUGCUGUGCAAUAGCAGUUGUCUGCUGUAGUUUAACUACCAACAGUGAGUUAUUCUGGGCCCUGCAGCUGGCAGGGACCCCAAGGCAGCAGUUCUAGGGCUCUGGAUGUCACCUGUUUAAGAUGUGCACUUAGGCUAGAGGCUGCAGCCUGUAAGGGCAGCGUCCUCUAAGCUUAGAGCCAGUGGUGCCACAGCGACUGGGCUGCUGACUGGGGCCAGUGGUGAGGUGGGGACAGUCCGGGACUCCCAUGCUGCACCAAGACCUCAGGCGGAAGGGCCCCGGGAUCUCCGUGCCUCCCGGUAGAGCAGAGCAGUUGCUGCUUGCUGCUCAUGAACUGCAACGAUUAUCUUACAGAAGCAGGAACACAGGCCCAGUUCAAUGAGAGCCCAGAAAACACCACCACAAAGGACAGCUGCCGAACUGCUGGCCGAUGCAGCAGGUGGUCCAGUGUGGCGUUCAGACAGCACUAGGCACGAGAGAGCGAGACCAUUGGGCAUGAGGAGGAGAGUUUUUAAACAACUGUUAGAAAUGAAAUAUAUAGUUACUGACAUAGAACCCCAAAUGCCCAGGUUAAAUAGCAGAUGAGGCAGGGCUGCAGGAAACUUGGGUAUAGUGGGAGACAUGCCCAAAGGCAUCCGGCAUACUCCCCAGGCCAAGGACACAGACACAGACAGAAAAUGUAAAGAGAUGUGUAAACAGAAGAAGGUCUGGCAUGGAUCUCAUAGUUCCAGGAGAGGAGACAGACCUGCAGGGUCACCCUGUGGAUAUGCAUGCAUAUUCAGCUUGAGCCUCCUGGUCCCCCUCCAACAGGGCCAAGGCUCUGAGUUUCUUCAGGUUGAGAGCUGCUGGCGACGGGGGCAGCCAUGGUGCAGUCAGCCUGGCGCUUUCUUAAAAUGUUACCUACCAGGUGACCCGGCAGUUCCACUCCUAGGUGUGUGGCCAUGAGAACUGAACACACAGACUCACCCGCGUGUUCACAGCAGCUUUACUCACAAAAGCCACGAAGUGGAAACGCAUGGAUCAACAAAACAAGGUCUGUCCACAUUGGGGAGGUCGAGCAGCAGAAAGGCAGGAAGCCGACAUGGGCCACAGCUCCAGUGAGCCUCCAGGACAGAGAAAAGGCAGGCAGACACAUGAGCCCACAAACCAAGGGCCCCGUCCAGACGCAUGAGCCCACAAACCAAGGGGCCCUCAGAACCCGGUUGGUUUCUGAGCUGGUGGAAAUGUCCAGAAGGCAAUGGCUAAGGGCAGCACAGCUCUGUGAAUGUACAAACCUCUCACUGCCCGUGAAGCCAGUGAGCUCAAUGUCACCAACACACAUCUCAACCCAGCCUCUAAAAGGAAGCGCUCCAGUGGCCCGGGAGCUCAGGGACAGGGAGCACAAGGCUGCAAAGCCUCUGCCCACUAGACCAGGCCACCUUUCUCAGACACUCGUGUACUGCCUCCCCUUUGUGCACAAAUAAUAUGCAGACAGUCCCCAACAUAUGAUGGUCUGAAUUAAGAUUUUUCAACUUUAUGAUGGUAUGAAAGCUAAAUGCAUUCGGUGGAAA